rnacentral:rRNA from 1 species
AUUGAACGCUGGCGGCGUGCCUUAUACAUGCAAGUCGAGCGAAGCGGGGACGGGUGAGUAACACGUGGAUAACCUCCUAUAAGACGGGGAUAACUUCGGGAAACCGGAGCUAAACCGGAUAAUUAUAGAUGGAUCCAGUCUGCAUUAGCUAGUUGGUAAGGUAACGGCUUACCAAGGCAACGAUGCAUAGCCGACCUGAGAGGGCGAUCGGCCACACUGGAACUGAGACACGGUCCAGACUCCUACGGGAGGCAGCAGUGGGGAAUCUUCCGCAAUGGGCGAAAGCCUGACCGAGCAACGCCGCGUGAGUGAUGAAGGUCUUCGGAUCGUAAAACACUGUUAUUAGGGAAGCGGUACCUAAUCAGAAAGCCACGGCUAACUACGUGCCAGCAGCCGCGGUAAUAC